rnacentral:tRNA from 1 species
GGGGCUGUGGCUCAGAGGCAGAGCGCUCACCUGGCAUGAGUGAGGCACUGGGUUCGAUCCCCAGCACCACA